rnacentral:rRNA from 1 species
GUAGGUGGCAAGCGUUGUCCGGGAAUUAUUGGGGCGUAAAGCGCGCGCAGGCGGUUCUUUAAGUCUGAUGUGAAAGCCCACGGGCUCAACCGUGGAGGGUCAUUGGAAACUGGAGAACUUGAGUACAGAAGAGGAAAGCGGAAUUCCACGUGUAGCGGUGAAAUGCGUAGAGAUGUGGAGGAACACCAGUGGCGAAGGCGGCUUUCUGGUCUGUAACUGACGCUGAGGCGCGAAAGCGUGGGGAGCAAACAGGAUUAGAUACCCUGGUAGUCCACGCCGCAAACGAUGAGUGCUAAGUGUUAGGGGGUUUCCGCCCCUUAGUGCUGCAGCUAACGCAUUAAGCACUCCGCCUGGGGAGUACGGCCGCAAAGGCUG